rnacentral:rRNA from 1 species
GGGCCCGCACAAGCGGCGGAGCAUGUUGCUUAAUUCGAGGCAACGCGAAGAACCUUACCAGGGUUUGACAUCCUGCGAAUCUCUUGGAAACAGGAGAGUGCCUUCGGGAACGCAGUGACAGGUGGUGCAUGGCUGUCGUCAGCUCGUGUCGUGAGAUGUUGGGUUAAGUCCCGCAACGAGCGCAACCCACGUCUUUAGUUGCCAGCAUUAGUUGGGCACUCUAGAGAGACUGCCGGUGAUAAACCGGAGAAGGUGUGGAUGACGUCAAGUCAUCAUGCCCCUUACAUCUGGGCUACACACGUACUACAAUGCUACGGACAAAGAGCAGCAAGUUCGCGAGGACAAGCAAAUCUCAUAAACCGUGGCUC